CCGCCGUCGGCGGGCACGAGACUUCAAAUGGCGUGCCUACGCACGUAGAUGUUCGUUCUGAAGCAUUCGCGGACGCGGGUUCGACUCCCGCCGCCUCCACCA
rnacentral:tmRNA from 1 species